UACGGAGGGUGCGAGCGUUGUCCGGAAUCACUGGGCGUAAAGGGCUCGUAGGCGGCCAACUAAGUCGGAUGUGAAAUCCCCAGGCUUAACCUGGGAACUGCAUCCGAUACUGAUUGGCUUGAAUCCGGGAGAGGGAUGCGGAAUUCCAGGUGUAGCGGUGAAAUGCGUAGAUAUCUGGAGGAACACCGGUGGCGAAGGCGGCAUCCUGGACCGGCAUUGACGCUGAGGAGCGAAAGCCAGGGGAGCAAACGGG
rnacentral:rRNA from 1 species